CCUACGGGAGGCUGCAGUGGGGAAUAUUGGGCAAUGGGCGCAAGCCUGACCCAGCAACGCCGCGUGAAGGAAGAAGGCCCUCGGGUUGUAAACUUCUUUUAUUCGGGACGAAACAAAUGACGGUACCGAAUGAAUAAGUCUCGGCUAACUACGUGCCAGCAGUCGCGGCAAUCCGUAGGUGGCAAUCGUUAUCCGGAUUUACUGGGUGUAAAGGGCGUGUAGGCGGGAGAGCAAGUCAGACGUGAAAUUCCAGGGCCCAACCCCGGAACUGCGUUUGAAACUGUAUUUCUUGAGUGAUGGAGAGGCAGGCGGAAUGCCGGGUGUAGCGGUGAAAUGCGUAGAUAUACGGAGGAACACCAGUGGCGAAGGCGGCCUGCUGGACAUUAACUGACGCUGAGGCGCGAAAGCGUGGGGAGCAAACAGGAUUAGAUACCCGGGUAGUC
rnacentral:rRNA from 1 species